rnacentral:rRNA from 1 species
AGUGAACGCUGGCGGUAGGCCUAACACAUGCAAGUCGAACGGCAGCACAGUAAGAGCUUGCUCUUACGGGUGGCGAGUGGCGGACGGGUGAGGAAUACAUCGGAAUCUACUUUUUCGUGGGGGAUAACGUAGGGAAACUUACGCUAAUACCGCAUACGACCUACGGGUGAAAGCAGGGGAUCUUCGGACCUUGCGCGAUUGAAUGAGCCGAUGUCGGAUUAGCUAGUUGGCGGGGUAAAGGCCCACCAAGGCGACGAUCCGUAGCUGGUCUGAGAGGAUGAUCAGCCACACUGGAACUGAGACUCGGUCCAGACUCCUACGGGAGGCAGCAGUGGGGAAUAUUGGACAAUGGGCGCAAGCCUGAUCCAGCCAUACCGCGUGGUGAAGAAGGCCUUCGGGUUGUAAAGCCCUUUUGUUGGGAAAGAAAAGCAGCAGGUUAAUACCCCGCUGUUCUGACGGUACCCAAAGAAUAAGCACCGGCUAACUUCGUG